AUUCAGUCGACGAGUUUCAAAUAGGACGAAAUGCGCGUCCUGGAU
rfam:Schistosoma margrebowiei strain Zambia genome assembly, scaffold: SMRZ_contig0000352